rnacentral:lncRNA from 1 species
GAGGAAAGCUGCUCAGUGUGUAACAGCCUGGCAACAGAGAGCUUCAGAGCCAGGAGCCAGGGAUAGAAAGUCCUCCAGGGCACACCCCCAAGACCUGCUUCCUCCAUUCACACCUACCUGCCUACAGCUCCACCCAUGAUCCACCCGAAGUAUCAAUCCAUCAAAUGGAUUAAUCAGUCAAAGCAAGGAAAAGAAAAACGAGAACUGGAUUAAUCCACUAACUAGAUUACAGCUUUUAUAUCCUAAUCAUUUCACCUCCAAACCUUCCUGCAGGGGAAUUUCAGGGUACACCUCAUAUCCAAACGGUCAUGUACGCAAAUCCUAAGACUGACUCUUCUUUUUUCUAUUUCUUUCCUACCUAUUCAUAAAACCACCCCCAAGCCAGCCCUCAUGUAUACUUCAUCCUAAUAUUAGUCAACUGAUUAUUGACAGAUAACACAGUAAUUUGAAAUUUUAAAAUAUCUUAUUUGUAAUUUUUCUGAUUUAUUUCUAGCAAAUCUUAGUGUCAAUGUUUGUUUUAUACCUGUCCUCUAUUUCCUUCUUGUUCUCUGUGGCUUUAUUUAUUUCAAGGGCUUUCUUCCAGAUUUGGAGUUACAGGGUGGGUGGGUAUUUUUUCUCAAUACUCUACAACCCUUAACAAAUAGUAAUUUUAAUUAUAUCUCAUUUCCCCAACAUCCUCCUGUUCUGCUUCUGUGAAGGUAUUUUUUUAGUUUUUAUUUUGAGAUGGGGGUCUCCCAGGAUGGUCUCAAACUUGGGAUUCUCCUGCUUUGACCUCCUUACUUGCUGGGAUCAUAGGCAUGUGCUAUCACACCCAGCAAGAUGAUGUUUAUUUUUAAGGUCUUUGAAACACAUUAAAAAUUUACAGAUUUUGAAAAUAAAAUGUUAAAUAUAACAAAUCUCACACUAAAAAUUUAAA